CACCUCCAAGCCAGCUGCAGGCUCUGGCCCCUAGAGCCUGAUAAAUAUUUAUGACAAGAUAAGUAGGAUCUGCCAGGUCCCAGCCCAAACCUUUGUCCUGGGAGCUAGAUGGCAAGGCAAGGUCAAAACCUCAGGACUUGAGUGUCUGGGGCAGAGCUGGGUCUCUUGUUCCGGUGGGUAGGGGCAGGCCUGAUUGUGUAGGCCUCCUGGGCCCUUCCUAGGGAGGGGGCUGGGCUGCUGCUGGAGCCCCGGGUGAGUGAGGGGGUUUUCUUCAAGGUGCCUCACUGGCCUAGGUCACUCUCCCCCAACCUGGCAGGUCUUGUUUGGGAGGGGCGAGGGGAAGCAUGGGUUUACACCAAACUUGGGACCCCUUUAAUUCCACUGGGAACAACUGCUGUACCCAGGGUGGGGUUAAAGCCACACCUAGGGGCAGUUCUGAGCCCAGGGAAAGAAGCCCUGAAAUUGAAGAGGGUAUGACCACCAAUUUUUUUUUCUGGCCACACCCACAGCAUAUGAGAAGUUCCUGGGGACCAGAAAUCAGAUCAAACCUAUGACAUAGCAGUGACCUGAGCCACAGCAGUGACAGCAGGAAACUUCGGGAAUGAAUACCAUUGAUGGUUCAUGCCCUACAGGUGAGGCCAUGCCUCAAGAAGUGGAUUCAAGGAGGGAGAAGUUGGGAAGAAUCCUGCAAGCAAGAGCACCCUCCCCACCUCCCCUGUUCUCUCCCUAUGCCUAUCCUUCCACCCCAUCCAUCAGAUGGGUAGAGGGGUCUCCCCAGGAUGAAUGUGGAGGGACGGCAGGGCCAGCAGGAGAGGUCCCUGGGCAGAGCUGGCCCCUGGUUGGAGCCCAGCAUCUCCAAACUGUAGCCCAGAGAAGGAGGCACAUCAGGACCCAGGAAGAACCCCUCAGAGCUGGAGUUGACUUGACCAACUUUCCCCGAGAUGAGAUGGACUCCGGAGAGGAUGGUGAGAUGGGAGGUCAGAGGGGCCUGCAGGGGGCAUCUUUUUUUCAUCAUGGAUAGGCACACAGAACCAGGACCGGAGGCAGUGGAAGGGCCUCGGGUCACUGCCUGUCACUGACCUGAAGGACAGGCCAACUCAGAUCUCCCUGGAAGCUGGCUCUCCUGUUCUGACUGGAGACUGAGACCCCAACUAGGAUGUGAGCAGGGACAUUCUGGCCAGGAACACUGGGGAGCAGACUGUGAGAGGUACUUGUCAUCUCAGCCUUAUCUGGACACAUUUGUGUUCCUUCCCAGCAGGCACCCCAUUCCCAGGCACUGGUUGUUCUCCCCCAGGGCCUGCUAGGAUGACCCCCAAUGCACUAGCCAGGCAUCCACCCAUCCCACCUUCCAGGGACACAGGGGUCGGGUCCCCACACCUCAACAGGUGAAGCCCAUUCUUCACCAGCUGCCAGCACGGAGCCAGCCUCCUUCCCGGGAAACCAUCUGCUCAGCUCAGGUUGCCUGAAAUGGGUACCAGCAUCUGAACAAACAGUCCUGAGUGAGGCGGGGCUGGGGGUGGUGUUGCAAGAGGUAGGGCCCCUGCCCCUAGCCCUGCUCUGGAGGGAAUUCGCACGAGUUCUCACAGCUGCCGCUGUCCCAGUCCUGCCUGAUGACUGCAUAGACUUCCCACUCCUCAGCCCCAUGGCUGCCACUGCCUGCCCACUGGAGCUCUCCCCGGCCCUCCCCAGGCCACCCGUCUUCUUGUCCUGGCACAUGAGUGGCCUCUGCUUCCCUCCAGGAAGAGUCCUCCCAUGGCUCCCAUCCCUGUCACCACACCAGUCAAGCUGGGCUGUCCUUCUCAGUGUCCACCACUGCCCUAAUGCCAAGGGCAGGCUGGCACACAGUGGGUAAUCAGAAAGCAUUGCUGCCUGUGGCCGUGACUGUGGAGUGAGUGCUCCCAGGGAUGUGGCCUGUUUAGUUUGGACCAGCUGUUCUUCCUGCUCCUCAGUCGACGUGAAGGCCUGACCCAGACUUAGAGCUGGGCAGGCUCCUGCCUGGGGGCUGCCCAUGUAAGACCCAU
rnacentral:lncRNA from 1 species